rnacentral:rRNA from 1 species
GACGUAGGGCGCGAGCGUUGUCCGGAUUUAUUGGGCGUAAAGAGCUCGUAGGCGGCUUGUCGCGUCGUCCGUGAAAACUUGGGGCUCAACCCCAAGCUUGCGGUCGAUACGGGCAGGCUAGAGUUCGGUAGGGGAGACUGGAAUUCCUGGUGUAGCGGUGAAAUGCGCAGAUAUCAGGAGGAACACCGGUGGCGAAGGCGGAUCUCUGGGCCGUAACUGACGCUGAGGAGCGAAAGCAUGGGGAGCGAACAGG